rnacentral:tRNA from 1 species
UUGAAAUUAGUUUAUUUAAAAUAAUAAUUUGUGGAAUUAUAGAUCUCUUUAAA